UAUACAACUUUCAGCAACGGAUCUCUUGGCUCUCGCAUCGAUGAAGAACGCAGCGAAAUGCGAUAAGUAAUGUGAAUUGCAGAAUUCAGUGAAUCAUCGAAUCUUUGAACGCACCUUGCGCUCCUUGGUAUUCCGAGGAGCAUGCCUGUUUGAGUGUCAUUAAAUUCUCAACCCCUCUAACUUUUGUUGGAAGGGGCUUGGAUAUGGA
rnacentral:rRNA from 2 species